UACGAAGGGCCCGUGUGUUAUUCGUUUUGAUUGGGUGUAAAGGGUAAGUAGGCGGCUCAUCGUUAGUUCCGGGUUAAAGCGCGGAGAAUUCCUACGCGAGAGCCCGGUUCGCGGGAUGUGGCUAGCGUUGAUUUGAGGUUGGGGCAAAUUCGUAAGUAGGGUUCAAAUGUGACGAGCUACGAAUGAACGCCGGCCGGCAAAGGCGCCUUUCCGCUUUCAACGGACGCUGAGGUACGGAAGCGCAGGGAGCAAACGGG
rnacentral:rRNA from 1 species